UUGAUCUUUGCCCUUUUCAAACUGCAAUCAAUAAAAUAUCAUUAUUUAGCAUUCAUGACUGGUUUUGAAGGAUAUGUGGCAGAGUAAAUAGAAUUACCGUCGUGGUAUAUCAAUUCAAACGACGGCAAUUCUAUUUUCCGUCGUCCACAGAAAUUAAAAUCCUAAAGUUUUCCAUUUACCUUCUUCUCAAACUCCAAAGAAGGAUCUGUGAUGAUGUCUCUCAUAAAGCGCAUGACAUAAUAGCCACACUCUACACUAUUGGGUUGCUUUGGUGUGACUUGUAGAGUUUUCCAAAUAGGUGCUUUACGGCCUUGUCUGCCUAUGUGUGAAUUAUACAUCUUGAUAGCACUGUUUCAUGACAACAAAGUGUUAUUUCAAAAAAAAAAAAAAAAAGGCUACAAACACACAUUGCACUUGAGUAGAUCAACUUACGUGUUCACUAUGUUUUUGCACUCGUCGUCAACCACUCGAUUUCCGAGCAGUGGUUCCAGAAAAGACACAAUCUCCCGCUUUGGUCUCACAAUGAGCAAGACCCAAUGACGGCUACACAAAGUAAACAUAGAGGUUAAACAGUUUUAUAUACACUAGAUUGUAAGGCAUAAAGAAAAUCUGUUCCCCAUCUGUCUUUUGAAGUCAAUUGGCUAACAAACAUGAUCUUUGAGUUAAUGAUCCAGACUUAGCACUAACUUGAGCGGGGUCAACAAAGCCAACCAUGUUCACCAUAUUUGCUGUUUUCAAUACAUCAAAUAGGCACCUACAUAUAUAAAAUGAUGUCAUGAGUUUUCUAAUUUUUUUAAAGAAAGGAGAGUAUGAAAUGACAAUGAGUUGAUAAGGACAAACCUCAUGUAUACAGCAACCACAGUAGCGCCAAUUUCAUCCAUGGCUGUAAACUGUGUAAUAUCUUCAAUCAAGAUGAAGGUUUGACGCUCAAAACCGA
rnacentral:lncRNA from 1 species